GAAACAUGGCUUCCGAAGCCAAGAGAUGUCGGCCUAGAAUUGUAACGAGUUCGGCAACAUAGCGACGUAAAUAGAAAUGGUCACAGGUCAACCCGAUUAUACGACUGGGGAAACAACACACUAGGUGGAAGACAUUCAAUGAAGAAAAUAGUUUCUCUACAAACGAGCAUGCAGCACGGAUUCUUCUGGAUAAGUGUGCACUUCAUUGACACAAGAAGUUCAUGCAGGUGAAGACAUCCCGACACCAGCUGAAACUUCUAUGGGACCGCCAUCACAUGUGUGCACCCCUACACCAGUAACAUCUACGCCUGCACAUGCCCAUAAAGAACCUAUAGCUAUAGAUAGACCUCCGAUGUCUCAGAUAUAGAUAUACCUCAGACACAUCAACCUGAACACUUGCCAAUGGCUGAAGAUCCCAUAGAAAUGGAAGAGGUUGAUGUUGAUGAUGAGCUUGCAGAGGAUGAAGGAGACAUUGUGGAAACAGACACUCAAAAUGAUAGUGUUGAAGAAAGGAAAUCCAUAUGCUUCCAAAGUGCCCUGUUGUAACUCACGUCAGUUCGAAUACCCACAACUUGUCAAAGAAAAGCAUGUGGUGCAAAUAUCAUUCUCCAAUGGGGAUAUGUUGGAUGUGCAGUACAGUUGAAAUGAAUUGGAGGAGCAGCAUUUGGUUCUAGUCCUGGAUCCUCUGGUUCACCUACAUUUUCGCAAAGGUCAAAAACUAGGCCUGGCUGACGAUACACUAGCUGAAGAACUAAAUUUAUCAGUGGCUUUGGGUCCAUCCUUCUGAUUAUAUCCUAAUACAUAAAACAGUUAUUAUAGAACAAAUCCAUGUGGGUGGGAGUACUGUAGCAUUCUAAUGUAUAAAAAUAACUGUUUUUCCUUAUUUUUGGUUUUUGAGUUGAUAAAUUUUAAUGCACUUAUAUAACUUAUCUAUUUUCCCUCAAAUUUCAUCCCAAAUUUUUCUACUAAGGUUUUAUUUAAGGUAUGUAUGCGUUUUUUGAUAAUUGUUUGUGGAAGUAAGUAUUGUGUAAAUGUGGUGUUCAAUUUCAGAACAUGUAGGAGGUAGGUGUUCACUUAAUGGUGUAUUGCAGGUGUUUACAUUUCAGUACUAGUGUGUGUUUGAGAGUGUUCACUUGACAGUAAAUGCAGGUGUUCUUUCAACAUUGUGUGUAGGAAGUGUUCAAUUAUCAGUUUGCAGGAAGUGUUCACUUAUCAGUUUGUGUAGGAAGUGUUCACUAGCAGUGUGUAUAGGAAGUGUUCACUAUCAGUGUGUGUAGGAAGUGUUCACUUAUCAGUGUGUGUAGGAAGUGUUCAAUUAUCAGUGUGUGUAGGAAUUAUUCACUAUCAGUUUGUAGGAAGUGUUCAAUUAUCAGUGUGUGUAGGAAGUGUUCACUAUCAGUUUGUAGGAAGUGUUCAAUUAUCAGUGUUUAUACGAAGUGUUCACUUGUGAGAAUGUGUUUGAGGUGCACGUGUGUACUAACAUUGUGUGUAGUUGUUAUUAACUUAUAAUAACAUUGUGUUCAUAGAUGGUUCAUUCUGAUAAAUGUGUUAAUCAAGUGUCUAGUUGCAUAUUUUUUCAAUAUUCUGUGAACUAAAAUGAAAUACCCCCAUGUGUAAUGUAAAUACCUACCUAGAGAAACAGGUCUUAUAACCAUACCAUUCACUUGGUUGGUUAAAAAUUAGGUGUUCAUACACAUAUGGGAAGUAUGUUUGAUGUGUGAGAGGGUCUGUGUAUUUUUGGUAAAAUUUAACACUU